CGGACCCGGCGGCCAGGGCCCCAUGGGUUCCGGCCCCAUGGGUUCCGGCUCCGGUCCGAUGGGCUCCGGCCCCGGCCCGGUGGGUCCGG
rnacentral:tRNA from 1 species